rnacentral:tRNA from 3 species
GCUGGAGUGGCGGAAAUGGCAUACGCGCUAGCCUUAGGAGCUAGUGGGAGCAAUCCCGUGGGAGUUCGACUCUCCCCUCCAGCA